rnacentral:rRNA from 1 species
GUCUAUGGCCAUGCCACCCUGAACAAGCCUGAUGUCAGAAGCUAAGCAGGGUUGGGCCUGGUUUGUACUUGGAUGGGAGACCACCUAGGAGGGCCAGGUGCUGUAGGCA